rnacentral:lncRNA from 1 species
CAGAGGUUACGAAACCAACCAAGCAAGGCAAGUCGGCCAUCAGGCUCAGCCUCCCAUGAAGCGCUCCUGACUUCCCACCCUUCCUCCAGGCCAGGAGUCUGCCAAUCACAAUCUGGGUUCUGUUUUCCCGCCUUUCCUGGCAGCACAAACCACGGCUCCGGAUGGUGAGCAAUGCAAGUUCCAGGCAUGCCUUGCUGCAUUACUGGGUUCCCAGGUGUCACUUCAUCCAGAGGUAGGGAGGAGGCCUCGCCACCAUGCCCAGAGCAGCACAGUGAGUCAGAGAUGAAGCUCUUGUCCCACCUGCCCCAACCCUCGAGCCCUGCUUCCCAGGUCCGCAUUCCCAGGCAGCCUGCCACAGCCAGUGCCAGCGAGAGAGUGGAUCAGGCUUCAGGAUAGCCCAGCACUGAGGACAUCUAAAACAGUCUUCAUUUAUUUAUUUAUUGUUCAUAGUGUCCAAAAGUUGGAAUUAAAGUGAAUGGCUGAAUCAAUUAUGGUGCAUUCAUAUUUAGGGAUGUUAUGCAUCUAUUAAAAAGAAUGAAAUAGAGGUAAACCAGUGAUUAAUUUUAAUUAGAUAUUUAUGAAUAAUAAAAGCAAGAUAAGGAAAAGUGUGUAUAUUAUUUAGGUAAAACAGUGAUUUAAAAUCUAUGUGUGUAUAUGUAUGUUUUGUUAGUUUGAGUUCGCCAAAGAUCAGUGAAUCAGUGACCAAGAUGAGGUUCCAUUUGCAAGAGAUUUAUUGGAAAAGCUCCAGGAAAAAUGUGUGUAUAUGGAUAUUUUAUUUCAUCUAAAGUAUAUAGAAUAAAAUACCUUUAGAUGGAAUAAAAUAUCCAUAUUACUUUAAAAUGUUUGGAUUGAAAUACAGUGAAGUGAAAAUUCCCCCUCCCAGUCUGGUUGCCCUUUUUUUUUUUUUUUUUUUUUUUUUUUGAG